GCGGGCGUGGCGAAAUGGUAGACGCAGCAGACUCAAAAUCUGCCGUAGCAAUACAUGUCGGUUCGAGUCCGACCGCCCGCACCA
rnacentral:tRNA from 4 species